rnacentral:snRNA from 1 species
CUACUUACCUGGCAGGGGAGACACCAUGAUCACGUAGGUGGUUUUCCCAGGGUGAGGCUCCGCCAUUGCACUUUGGGCUGUGCUGACCCCUGCGAUUUCCCCAAAUGCGGGAAACUCGACUGCAUAAUUUGUGGUAGUGGGGGACUGCGUUCGCGCUCUCCCCUG